rnacentral:rRNA from 1 species
UGAGGAAUUUUGCGCAAUGGGGGAAACCCUGACGCAGCAACGCCGCGUGAGUGAUGAAGGCCUUCGGGUCGUAAAGCUCUGUCAAGUGGGAAGAAAUCAGGUCGUGCGAAUACCACGGCCAGUUGACGGUACCACUAAAGGAAGCACCGGCUAACUCCGUGCCAGCAGCCGCGGUAAUACGGGGGGUGCAAGCGUUAUUCGGAAUUAUUGGGCGUAAAGCGCACGUAGGCGGUCUCUUAAGUCAGAUGUGAAAGCCCGGGGCUCAACCCCGGAAGUGCAUUUGAAACUAGGGGACUUGAGUAUGGGAGAGGGAAGUGGAAUUCCUGGUGUAGCGGUGAAAUGCGUAGAUAUCAGGAGGAACACCGGUGGCGAAGGCGACUUCCUGGACCAAUACUGACGCUGAGGUGCGAAGGCGUGGGGAGCAAACA